GUAAAUGAUAAAUUUCUUCUUGAAUUGAAAUGGAAACAAAGGCCCACUUUUAGCCAAUCAAAGUUGAAUAUUUUUGUUUAUGUUACUUGGGAAAGAUCGCCACCAUAAUAUGAAGCAUCAUUACUGAAUCUAAAUGAUGCCCAAUUAGGAUGGAGCCAUGAAAGGUUAUGCCACUCCAGAAACACGGGAACAGGGCUGCAGCACAGAGCUGGGCACUGGGUUUGCUGAGGCAAACCCCCAGUCCUGCGUAAGGACAAGAAGUGCAUGCCUUGGUCCCCUCCAAUCCAUCCACAGACCAGAAAAUUAAGGAAAGUAAGGUUCAGAGAAGCCAAGUAACCUGCUCUAUGUCCCUCAGCAUGCUCCACCUCCUUCUUCCUCACUCUUCCUUCUCUAAGCCGGUGCCAAAGUGAAGCAAUGCUGGACUUCCCUGGUGGCGCAGUGGUUGGGAGUCUGCCUGCUAAUGCAGGGGACACGGGUUCGAGCCCUGGUCUGGGAGGAUCCCACAUGCCGCGGAGCAACUAGGCCCGUGAGC